CAAACCGACACAGGUGGGUGAGGAGAGUAUCCUAAGGCCAGCGAGAGAACUGUUGUUAAGGAACUCGGCAAAAUGACCCCGUAACUUAGGGAUAAGGGGUGCCACCAUCAGGUGGCCGCAGAGAAUAGGCCCAAGCGACUGUUUACCAAAAACAUAGGUUUCUGCUAAGUCGCAAGACGAUGUAUAGGAGCUGACGCCUGCCCGGUGCUGGAAGGUUAAGGGGAUCUGUUAGAGCAAUCGAAGCAGUGAACUUAAGCCCCAGUAAACGGCGGCCGUAACUAUAACGGUCCUAAGGUAGCGAAAUUCCUUGUCGGGUAAGUUCCGACCCGCACGAAAGGCGUAACGAUUUGGGCACUGUCUCAACAACAGACUCGGUGAAAUUGUAAUUCCGGUGAAGAUGCCGGAUACCUGCGACAGGACGGAAAGACCCCAUGGAGCUUUACUGUAGCUUGACAUUGGGUCUUGGUACUACAUGUACAGGAUAGGUGGGAGGCUUUGAAACCAGGACGCCAGUUUUGGCGGAGCCAUCCUUGGGAUACCACCCUUGUAGUACUGGGACUCUAACCAUAGGCCAUGAAUCUGGUCUUGGGACACUGUCAGGUGGGCAGUUUGACUGGGGCGGUCGCCUCCCAAAAGGUAACGGAGGCGCUCAAAGGUUCUCUCAGUACGGUCGGAAAUCGUACGUAGAGUGUAAAGGCAAAAGAGAGCUUGAUUGCAAGACAUACAGGUCGAGCAAGGAUGAAAAUCGGACUUAGUGAUCCGGUGGUUCUGCGUGGAAGGGCCAUCGCUCAACGGAUAAAAGCUACCCUGGGGAUAACAGGCUUAUCUCCCCCAAGAGUCCACAUCGACGGGGAGGUUUGGCACCUCGAUGUCGGCUCAUCACAUCCUGGGGCUGUAGUAGGUCCCAAGGGUUGGGCUGUUCGCCCAUUAAAGUGGUACGCGAGCUGGGUUCAGAACGUCGUGAGACAGUUCGGUCCCUAUCCGUCGCAGGCGUAGGAAAUUUGAGAAGACCUGUCCUUAGUACGAGAGGACCGGGAUGGACGUACCUCUGGUGUACCAGUUGUUCUGCCAAGGGCAUGGCUGGGUAGCUAUGUACGGAAUGGAUAAGCGCUGAAAGCAUCUAAGCGCGAAGCCAACU
rnacentral:rRNA from 1 species